rnacentral:lncRNA from 1 species
AUGUAUAACAUUAUGGCAUGCAUUCUUGAAAAUGAAAUUUCAUUUCAUUUCUUGUUGCUAUUUUUGAAAGACUGAGUUGAAGUAUUUUAUUAUCUUUACCUUUUAACUACAUAAAAUAUCCAAUAAAUAAAUAUGAUAGAAACUAAAUAAAAAUAAAGGAAAUUGGGUUUGAUUUUUUACAAAAUGAAGCCAGGUUAUGCAAUGUAUUCCUGUAUACAUUUAUAAAUUUGAUAUGAAAAUACAUAUAUAUAGCAAAGGGCCCUCUAUAAUUCCAACUCUAUGUCCUUGUAGAGGACAAGUUGUGACCUCAUGUUUGGGCAUCUCCCCUGGGUGAAGAAGCUCUAGUUCUACCCAACCAAAGUAUAAGAUAUUGUGCUGAUUAAAUGUAUUGGAAUAGAGAAAGACGCAGUAUUAUACAUGAUCCCUUUAAAGCAUGAAGUGGUAAUCAUUUUUCUUUCUGUAGUUUUAGAACUGUAUAGGUCUUAAAAACUAAUCUUUGAAUGACAACUCUUCAAAUGAUCUAUCUUAGGACUAAAAAGGAAAGUAGUGUUACUAGUAGCUUUUAGCAACUAGGACACAUUUCUGAAUUACCUUUGUCUGGGCCCUCUGUUGAUAUUUCUAUGCCAUUAAGAGGACUAAAUUUCUAUGUUCUGUUCUUCCUUAUGGGAUAGUUGACAUCCAAAUAAAACUCUGUGCUUUCAGCCAAAACUAUUAUAUACUCUAUUGAGGUGAAUCUAAAGUCCUUUAAAGUUUUUUUGAAUUCUAACACUAAGCCUGCACAACCAUCAUCUUCAAUAAUUGUUCCUGUAAAAGAUAGAAUCUGAUCAGGUUUGUUAGCAACAGUAAACAUUGAGAUUGCUGCAGGCCUUCAGAUACACCAUUUAUGGAAGAUGUAUAGAUGUGUGAUCUCUUUGGGAACCUAUAGUGUGAUAAGUGAAUUUAGUUUAAAUCACUAUCUAGCACUCUAAAAUUGACAUAUAAUUACUGAGGGGCAGUUAUGACCUAGCUCUUAUUAAGGAGCCCUUGGGACUAUAAGAUCCAAAUACAAGGAUUUAUUAUCCAUAAAAGGAGCAAUUUAUUUACUUUUAUCUCUGAAAAUAACUCCCAUACUGAAUCUUUUUCAAAGAUAACAUAAAUGUUUAAUCUAUGUGGUAUAUCUAUACCAGAGAUCUAACAACCUUAUGGAUGAAAUUUGUCUUCUCUGCAUAUUUUCCUUAUGAUAAGUAUGAACUUCUGUCAACAAGUUUUGUGCAUUUGGUAGAGUUCUGUCAACAAAAUCAGUUUGAUUUAUUGGUUAUUGUUGUUGCUAAAUCUUUUCAUAUAGUUUGGAGAAGAAGAAUAUCAGUCAAACAGAUGAGCACUUAUUGGGGUUUUUAGUAAGUAUGUAACUUUUUUGUUUUAAAUAAGAGCAAUGUUGCACCUAAAGCAAACUGAAGUUAUUGCAUAAAUGUAUGUAAAUGAGCCAAGCACAGGACUAAUAAGUCAUUACUAUAAAACAAAAUGUUUGGC